CUGAGUUUUAGGUCUUGAAAUGCAUAUUAUGUAACACUUAUUUUUCUUCCCUUGUACAGUAACAUCUACUGGAAGUGGGAGUAGAAUCUGUUUCCAUAAAAUAUUUGCAUUUGAAUAUUUAGUCUGAAUCUUCCCCCUCUUCCAUCAACAAACCCACAAUUUUUAAGCUUGACACAGAUUUUCUAGGAAGAUACAGAACAGUUGCUGGAAAUAGACAGUGGCAUAAACUGUUCUCUGGGAUGAUUUAUAGCUGAUAAAUCUUAUCACUGGAAAGGUGAUGGUAUAGAUGGGGUUGGGACCUUAGCGAGUGUACCCAAAUAUUGUAUUUCUCUUGGGGGUUCUGAUGAUGUCAGCAUUCCCUACCUGUGUUGCAUGGAUGUGGUCAUUAGCAGCCCCUUUCCACCCUGGGAGGGAGAGCAGAGCAAUGGAAGGUUUCUCUUUGCAAAAAUCCAUGCAGUAUAAGAACAUGAGCAAUUGUAUCUGCAUAUUCUUAAGCAUAGUUCUGAAGCUGGAUUUCAUCAGAACGACUUGAUGCUGUAAUAAUCCUGGACUGAGUAGGAAGCAUUAAAAAUACUACUUUCUAAUGAUGUUCAAGUGCUUUUUUGCCAAUAAUUAUAUUUAAAACGAACUUUGUGCUCUCAAGCUGUAAGUGGUUGCACAAUUUGUUACAUGUAAUUUAGUACACAUCACUGAAAACAUUGGUUCAGUACAGGCAGAAAUUCACAGAGAUAAAGUCAGUAAAUAUUUUGUACUACUUGUAGUUGUGAAAUGCAUUGCUUAUAAUUGCUAAAAUUGAAGAAUGUGGAUGAGAAAAGAA